GUGGGGAAUAUUGGACAAUGGGCGAAAGCCUGAUCCAGCCAUGCCGCGUGUGUGAAGAAGGUCUUCGGAUUGUAAAGCACUUUAAGUUGGGAGGAAGGGCAGUAAGUUAAUACCUUGCUGUUUUGACGUUACCGACAGAAUAAGCACCGGCUAACUUCGUGCCAGCAGCCGCGGUAAUACGAAGGGUGCAAGCGUUAAUCGGAAUUACUGGGCGUAAAGCGCGCGUAGGUGGUUUUGUAAGUUGGAGGUGAAAUCCCCGGGCUCAGCCUGGGAACUGCCUCCAAAACUGCAUGACUAGAGUACGGUAGAGUGUAGUGGAAUUUCCUGUGUAGCGGUGAAAUGCGUAGAUAUAGGAAGGAACACCAGUGGCGAAGGCGACUACCUGGACUGAUACUGACACUGAGGUGCGAAAGCGUGGGGAGCAAACAGGAUUAGAUACCCGGGUAGUCC
rnacentral:rRNA from 1 species